AUGCUUCACGCAAUUGUCCUAUCCUUGUAUCCCCUUAAUUGGUUCUUCACUUUUCUUUAUUAUACAGAUGUUGCAUCCGUUACUGCUGUGCUGGCCAUGUAUCUUGCAAGUUUGGAAAAGAAUUACUGGUUAAGUGCAUUGCAACUACGAAACACUGUCAGGGACUUAGGGUUUACGUGUUUUUGGAUAAAAAUUAGAGAGAACAAAAUAAGAUUGAUGAAAAAGGAUUCAGGAUUUAGAACACUCACUCAGAGACAAAGAGAUUGGUGUAUAUGGUUUGAGGUUUCCAAUACAGAUGGUGGUGGUUGUGGCCGUUAUUUACCAUUUGUGAGAAAAAACGAUUUGGAUAAGACGAAGUCAGAGAAGAGGCGUGAAGAUGUGGCGAAGUGA